ACUUAAGCAUACCCNCUGAACCUGCGGAAGGAUCAUU
rnacentral:rRNA from 1 species